rnacentral:tRNA from 1 species
GGGGCUGUAGCUCAGUGGAAAAACCUCUGUUUUCCAUGCAGAAGGUCCCAGGUUCAAUCCCUCACAUCUCUA